UUUCCGUAGGUGAACCUGCGGAAGGAUCAUUAUUGAAGCUUCAUCCUGGGCGCCGCCGCCCUCAGCACCGGUGGAGACGCCGUGCUGCGGGGGCCGCGCGUCCACUCGUCCAAACCAAACCCCUGUGAACCUUACGGGAUGGCCCGUGUUAGCGCCCGGGGGCGUUCCGCUUUAUAAAAACACUUAUCAAUGAAUGACAUGAAGGCGGUCUGACCGCUGGAUAACAAACUGAUACAACUUUCAACAACGGAUCUCUUGGCUCUG
rnacentral:misc_RNA from 1 species